UUUUAUGAUUAGCAAAUCAACUAAAAUGUCUGCGAAAUGAAAAACUACAAAAUUUUAAUUUUGUAAUACAGUGUGAAACAUAUAACCGCAAAAGCAGUAAAUUCAAAUACACCAAAAUCAUUUUGAAGUUCAUCUACGGCGUUUUUCUUAGUUUAAUUUUUUACCACUUCAUUUUAGUAGACUUACAGUUUAGCAAUCAAUCUACAAUCCUGAUGGGAAUUACUAUCGGUGUGUUUUUAAGCGUCGGCCAUGUCGUUUCACGACAAGUAAUUUCAAACUUUUCAUAAUAGCUCU